AACGUAGGGGGCAAGCGUUGUCCGGAAUCAUUGGGCGUAAAGAGCGCGUAGGCGGCCCAGUAAGUCCGCUCUGAAAGUCAGGGGCUCAACCCCUGAAUGCGGGUGGAUACUGUCGGGCUAGAGUGCGGAAGAGGCGAGUGGAAUUCCUGGUGUAGCGGUGAAAUGCGCAGAUAUCAGGAGGAACACCGGUGGCGAAGGCGGGUCUCUGGGCCGGAAUACUGACGCUGGAGGAGCGAAAGCCGUGGGGAGCG
rnacentral:rRNA from 1 species